rnacentral:rRNA from 1 species
UACGAAGGGGGCUAGCGUUGCUCGGAAUCACUGGGCGUAAAGGGUGCGUAGGCGGGUUUUUAAGUCAGAGGUGAAAUCCUGGAGCUCAACUCCAGAACUGCCUUUGAUACUGAAAAUCUUGAGUACGGGAGAGGCGAGUGGAAUUCCUGGUGUAGCGGUGAAAUGCGCAGAUAUCAGGAGGAACACCGAUGGCGAAGGCAGCUCACUAAGCCGCAACUGACGCUGAGGCUCGAAAGCGUGGGGGAGCAAACAGG